rnacentral:rRNA from 1 species
CCUACGGGUGGCAGCAGUCGAGAAUCAUUCACAAUGGGGGAAACCCUGAUGGUGCGACGCCGCGUGGGGGAAUGAAGGUCUUCGGAUUGUAAACCCCUGUCAUGUGGGAGCAAAUUAAAAAGAUAGUACCACAAGAGGAAGAGACGGCUAACUCUGUGCCAGAAGCCGCGGUAAUACAGAGGUCUUAAGCGUUGUUCGGAAUCACUGGGCGUAAAGGGUGCGUAGGCUGUUUCGUAAGUCGUGUGUGAAAGGCGCGGGCUCAACCCGCGGACGGCACAUGAAACUGGGAGACUAGAGUAAUGGAGAGGGAACCGGAAUUCUCGGUGUAGCAGUGAAAUGCGUAGAUAUCGAGAAGAACACUCGUGGCGAAGGCAGGUUCCUGGACAUUAACUGACGCUGAGGCACGAAGGCCAGGGGAGCGAAAGGGAUUAGAUACCCCAGUAGUC